AAGGUGGGGCGAGUUCUACACGGGACCGGGACCCGUCUGCGACCAAAAAAAACAAACAAAAAAAAACAAGUGCAAUCGGUCACAGAAGAACAAUAAAAGACACUGGAAAAUCAAGUUUUGGUUUAAUCGUCAGAAGGUAAGAACAACAUUUCUGGGAGAAGUUAUUUUUUUAAAAUUUUCCCCCACAUGCACAUUACAGAUUUUGCUUGUGAAUGCCUCUCAAACAUGAGGGCACUGGUUUUUUUUAAAUUUUUUAUAGGUUUAUCCACAUCAUACCGGGAUGGAUGUACUGAAUGCAGAGUUUUGAACGAUAUAAACACUGCGGUAAGGACGUUCUCUCUUUUACUCUUUGGUUAUUACCAGCAUUAACGACGCAGAAAUGAGAUUUUUCAACCUGCGCUGAGAGAAACGAACGCUGAGCUCUGAUCACGUGUUUAAAAUCGUUAUAACUCGACUGCAUCCGUCUUAACCGAUGUGGCUACGCCGCUGUAGAAAUCCCUGGCAUCCGAACACAACUCUAUACGGCAAAAGAUGAGAGGAAAUAUUGGUAUGCGUUCCUUUUCACAUGACUAUUGCACUGUUUCUCUUCAUACUUCUGUUGAGACCAUAAAUGUACAACCAUCAUCAAAUUACUAUUAAAUAACUUUUCUCAUAUAAGAAAUUAAAAAAAAGAAAGAAAAAGAAAGAAAGAAAGAAUUACAAGACUGGCACCAACUACAGCAUUAAAGGAAGAAGGGAAAAAAAAGUUUUUAAAAAAAUAAAACAAAAAAACCACUGAACUAGUACAGCUAGAAAAAGAACACGCCCUGGGUCCCUUUUAACAGUCCAAGGAGCGCAUCAAAUAAAUAAUAAUACAGUGUUGUCUACAAAACAGUCCAAAUACUAUUACUUUAACUAGUUCUCUCAAUACCACUCACUCACGCACUCACUCACAAUUCAUGGACAGUUCUUUAAAAAGGGAAUGAAGUAAAGGUGAUGAGGACAAUAACAUUAGUUAGUUCAUGACAAAGUCACAUUCGAAGUAAAAAUCUGCCAGAGUUCGGAUUGCAAAAACGAGGGAAAGAAAAAAAAAAAGAAAAGAAAAAAAACGCCCCAUAAAACUACUGGCUAGAGUGUGAAAUCUGGGGGCUGCACUUAUCCACGUUUCUGGGGCAAUAUAUACAUAAGAAUAAAGAAAAUAAUAAUACAGGCUCAGUACCUUUGCUACCGCAUCCUUAUUUAGCCUUUGUCAGGAAUCUACAAGUUUGGAGGCUUCUGUUGAAUGUGAUUGGCUAAUAAUCAAACCUGACUCGCUUGAUCAGAAUAGCAAUCUAGAAUUUUAAGAACAAGAACAAAAAAAAAAAAAAGUCAUAACUGAUGGCAAAAAAAAAAAAAAAAAGGUAGUUAGCUUGUGAGCGAACUGCAGCUACAAAGAUAACUUUAGAUAGCUGGCUCACUUAAUUAUUACUCAGAGUAUUUUGCACUAAGCGUUAUGCUAAAGACUUUAAAAUGAACUGGUAGUUGUGAUUUGCAGUUCACCCGUGACACGGCAAAAAUGAAGAUCUAUAGAUUGGCCAUGAAAAUAAACACUAUACCUCCUCUGCAGUUUGCCUCUGGUUUAAACACAAGUCCAAAAUGCGUACGGGUGUGGGG